AUGGCUCCUCCGCGGGACCGCAAGAUAAGCCGAUCAAGAGACUCCCUUUCCAGUUCCGGAGCGUUGGCCGCGGCGAUGAAGUCACGCGGCGCCAGCGCUGUCCCCGACACGCCGCCGGUGAUCUCUGGGCACGCGCCGCAGCAGCACCAGCGGGGUGGCGGCGGCGGCGGCACCAGGUGGCGCGAGUGCGCCGCCGUGCUGGGCGCCGUGGCCGUGGUGGUGCUCGUCGUCACCCAUGCGCUCCUCAACGUGGGCGACGACGUGGCUGACCCGGUAGCCCGUCUCCGGGCAGCCACCGACGAGAAAGCGGCCGUUCUGUCCAAGAAGACUCCCGGGGAGGCCCAAGCCGAGCAGGAGAUCAAGGCAGCCGCCGGCGCUGAUGCCGACGGGUCCCCGUGGAGCAGCGAGAUGCUGCAGUGGCAGCGCACUGGUUACCAUUUCCAGCCGGACGGGAACUUCAUGAACGAUCCCAAUGCUCCGAUGUAUUACCGUGGACUGUACCACUUCUUCUACCAGUACAAUCCCAAGGGCGUUGUGUGGAACAAGAUCGCCUGGGGCCACGCCGUGUCGCCGGACCUCGUCCACUGGCGCCAUCUCCCGGUUGCCAUGGUGCCCGAUCAAUGGUACGACAUCAAUGGCGUCCUGACGGGAUCCGCCACCAUGCUCCCCAAUGGCACGGUCAUUCUGCUCUACACGGGCAACAGCGAGACUUUUGCCCAGGUACAAUGCCUCGCCCUCCCCGCAGACCCUACGGACCCCCUCCUCCGUACCUGGACCAAGCACCCUGCCAACCCCGUCAUCUUCCCGCCCCCCGGCAUUGGCGACAGGGACUUCCGCGACCCCAUGGCCGCAUGGUUUGAUAAGUCCGACAACACAUGGCGCACUAUCAUAGGGUCCAAGGAUGACCAUGGUCAUGCCGGUAUUGCCCUUAUGUACAAGACGAAAGACUUCAUCAAGUACGAGCUCAUCCCGGACCCGGUUCACCGUGUCGAGGGCACCGGCAUGUGGGAGUGCAUUGACCUCUACCCCGUUAGCGGUGGCAGCAACUCACCAGAGGAGGUGAUAUACGUGAUGAAGGCGAGUGUGAACGAUGAAUGGCAUGACUACUAUGCGCUAGGGAGGUUUCAUGCAGAGGCCAACAGGUGGACGCCAAUGGACCCGGAAGCUGAUGUGGGGAUCGGCAUGAGGGUCGAUUGGGGUAAGUUUUAUGCCUCUACAUCCUUCUAUGAUCCGGUCAAGCAGCGGCGUGUGAGCUGGGGGUUUGUCGGCGAGACCGACUCACCCAACACCGACAUAGCCAAGGGAUGGGCAAGCCUCCAGGGGAUUCCAAGGAAAGUAGUGCUAGACCAGAAAACCCGGACGAACAUCCUCCAAUGGCCGGUGGAGGAGAUCGACACCCUCCGCUACAACGCCACCAACUUCAGCGGCAUCACCAUCGAGUCUAGCUCUGUCAUAACCCUCCCUCUCCGCCAAGUUGCUCAACUCGAUAUUGAGGCAUCCUUUCGCCUCAACGCUUCCGCCAUCGCCGCCCUCAACGAGGCCGAUGUCAGCUACAACUGCAGUACAAGUGGUGGUGCCACCGAACGCGGCGCGCUCGGCCCCUUUGGCCUUCUCAUCCAUGCCACCAACAGCGGCAGCGAACAAUUGGCAGUGUACUUUUACAUUUACAAGGGUCUUGAUGGGGGCCUCCGGACCCAGUUCUGCCAUGAUGAGUCAGGGUCAUCGCGAGCCAAGGAACUGCUGAAGCGUGUGGUGGGAAGCACCGUGCCCGUGCUCCAUGGAGAGGCUUUAUCCGCAAGGGUGCUCGUGGAUCAUUCGAUUGUGGAGAGCUUUGUAAUGGGUGGGAGGAUGACGGUGACGUCGCGCGUCUACCCUAUGAAGGCCAUCCAUGCGGCUGGUAGGGUGUGCGUUUUCAACAACGCCACCGGGUCCGCGGUUACCGUCGAGAAGCUCGUGGUGCACGAGAUGGCCUCAGCACCAAUACAACCAUACCAUGAUGCAUGA
rnacentral:rRNA from 1 species